GAGUUUGAUCCUGGCUCAGAAUGAACGUUGGCGGCGUGGAUUAGGCAUGCAAGUCGUGCGGAAAGGCCCCGCAAGGGGUGCUCGAGCGGCGAAAGGGAUAGUAACGCGUGGAUUACCUACCCUCGGGACGGGGAUAGCUGGGGGAAACCCCAAUUAAUACCCGAUAACGUCUUUGGACCAAAGGUGAAAUUCCGCCUGAGGACGGGUCCGCGUCCUAUUAGCUAGUUGGUGAGGUAACGGCUCACCAAGGCAACGAUGGGUAGCGGGUGUGAGAGCACGACCCGCAUCACUGGGACUGAGACACUGCCCAGACACCUACGGGUGGCUGCAGUCGAGAAUCUUCGGCAAUGGGCGAAAGCCUGACCGAGCGACGCCGCGUGUGGGAUGAAGGCCUUCGGGUUGUAAACCACUGUCAGUGGGAAUGAAAUACGGGAGGGUUCACCCUCUCGUUUGACAGACCUUCAGAGGAAGGACGGGCUAAGUUCGUGCCAGCAGCCGCGGUAAUACGAACCGUCCAAACGUUAUUCGGAAUCACUGGGCUUAAAGGGUGCGUAGGCGGCCCGGUAAGUUGGGUGUGAAAUCCCUCGGCUUAACCGAGGAAUUGCGCUCAAGACUGCCGGGCUCGAGGG
rnacentral:rRNA from 1 species